GCUUGCUCCUUGGGUGGCGAGUGGCGGACGGGUGAGGAAUACAUCGGAAUCUACUUUUUCGUGGGGGAUAACGUAGGGAAACUUACGCUAAUACCGCAUACGACCUACGGGUGAAAGCAGGGGACCUUCGGGCCUUGCGCGAUUGAAUGAGCCGAUGUCGGAUUAGCUAGUUGGCGGGGUAAAGGCCCACCAAGGCGACGAUCCGUAGCUGGUCUGAGAGGAUGAUCAGCCACACUGGAACUGAGACACGGUCCAGACUCCUACGGGAGGCAGCAGUGGGGAAUAUUGGACAAUGGGCGCAAGCCUGAUCCAGCCAUACCGCGUGGGUGAAGAAGGCCUUCGGGUUGUAAAGCCCUUUUGUUGGGAAAGAAAUCCAGCCGGCUAAUACCUGGUUGGGAUGACGGUACCCAAAGAAUAAGCACCGGCUAACUUCGUGCCAGCAGCCGCGGUAAUACGAAGGGUGCAAGCGUUACUCGGAAUUACUGGGCGUAAAGCGUGCGUAGGUGGUUGUUUAAGUCUGUUGUGAAAGCCCUGGGCUCAACCUGGGAACUGCAGUGGAAACUGGACAACUAGAGUGAGGUAGAGGGUAGCGGAAUUCCCGGU
rnacentral:rRNA from 1 species